GAUGAACGCUGGCGGCGUGCCUAAUACAUGCAAGUCGAGCGAACAGACGAGGAGCUUGCUCCUCUGACGUUAGCGGCGGACGGGUGAGUAACACGUGGAUAACCUACCUAUAAGACUGGGAUAACUUCGGGAAACCGGAGCUAAUACCGGCUCAUAUAUUGUACCGCAUGGUUCAAUAGUGAAAGACGGUUUUGCUGUCACUUAUAGAUGGAUCCGCGCCGCAUUAGCUAGUUGGUAAGGUAACGGCUUACCAAGGCAACGAUGCGUAGCCGACCUGAGAGGAUGAUCGGCCACACUGGAACUGAGACACGGUCCAGACUCCUACGGGAGGCAGCAGUAGGGAAUAUUCCGCAAUGGGCGAAAGCCUGACGGAGCAACGCCGCGUGAGUGAUGAAGGUCUUCGGAUCGUAAAGCUCUGUUAUUAGGGAAGAACAAAUGUAUAAGUAACUAUGGACGUCUUGACGGUACCUAAUCAGAAAGCCACGGCUAACUUCGUG
rnacentral:rRNA from 1 species